UGGAUGGUUGCAGCAUACUCUC
rnacentral:siRNA from 1 species